AGCCACUUCUGUUAGUAAACGAAUGAAAUGCAAGACAAAAUCCCCACAGGUAUUAAGGGAGAAAGAUAGAAAGGAGGAACAGACAACAAAGGAAAAAUUAUAAAGCAUAUAAUUUGGAAUGAACUUCAAGGAGAAUAUACUAAAAUAAUUAAAUGCUAGAGUGAAAAGGAGAUAUGUUUACCAUUAUACAUAAAUGUUAUUUCAAAGGUUCAUAUUUUAUAUCUUAAAAAUGAGGCUGUUUUAUUUUCUA